rnacentral:rRNA from 1 species
GACGUAGGGCGCGAGCGUUGUCCGGAUUUAUUGGGCGUAAAGAGCUCGUAGGCGGCUCGUUGCGUCGGCUGUGAAAACCCGCAGCUCAACUGUGGGCUUGCAGCUGAUACGGGCAGACUGGAGGUAUGCAGGGGAGAACGGAAUUCCUGGUGUAGCGGUGAAAUGUGUAGAGAUCGGGAGGAACACCGGUGGCGAAGGCGGGCCUCUGGGCAUCUCCUGACGCUGAGGCGCGAAAGCGUGGGGAGCAAACGGG